CAGAAACUAGUUUAAUUUAAAAUUUAGGUUUUGGAAAUCUAGGAUGUCUUUUUGGUGUUUCUGA
rnacentral:tRNA from 1 species